rnacentral:rRNA from 1 species
CGCCUAACACAUGCAAGUCGAACGCAGUAGCAAUACUGAGUGGCAAACGGGUGAGUAUAAUGUGGGAAUCUGCCUUUUGGUUUGGAAUAACACGGGGAAACUUGUGCUAAUACCGAAUAAGCCUUUACAGGGAAAGUUUUAACGCCGAAAGAUGAGCCCGCACUUGAUUAGCUAGUUGGUAAGGUAAAAGCUUACCAAGGCAAUGAUCAAUAGCUGUUCUUAGAGGAAGACCAGCCACAUUGGGACUGAGACACGGCCCAGACUCCUACGGGAGGCAGCAGUGGGGAAUCUUGCACAAUGGGGGAAACCCUGAUGCAGCGAUGCCGCGUGAGUGAAGAAGGCCUUUGGGUUGUAAAACUCUUUCGUCGGGGAAGAAAAUGACUGUACCCGAAUAAGAAGGUCCGGCUAACUUCGUGCCAGCAGCCGCGGUAAUACGAAGGGACCUAGCGUAGUUCGGAAUUACUGGGCUUAAAGAGCUCGUAGGUGGUUAAAAUAGUUGAUGGUGAAAUCCCAAGGCUUAACCUUGGAACUGCCAUCAAAACUUUUUAGCUAGAGUGUGAUAGAGGUAAGUGGAAUUUCUAGUGUAGAGGUGAAAUUCGUAGAUAUUAGAAAGAACACCAAAUGCGAAGGCAACUUACUGGGUCACUACUGACACUGAGGAGCGAAAGCAUGGGUAGCGAAGAGGAUUAGAUACCCUCGUAGUCCAUGCCGUAAACGAUGUGUGCUAGACGUUGGAAAUAUAUUUUUCAGUGUCGCAGCGAAAGCAUUAAGCACACCGCCUGGGGAGUACGACC